rnacentral:rRNA from 1 species
AACUCUUAGCAGUGGAUCACUCAGCUCAUGCGUCAAUGAAGAACACAGCUAGCUAUGAGAAUUAAUGUGACUUGCAGGACACAUUGAUCAUCAACACUUGAAUGCACUUGCGGGCCCGGGUUCCUCCCAGGGCUACGCCUGUCUCAGCAUUG